UAUGAAUGCUAAUGGAGAAACUGCUAAUGCUAGCGCAACCAAGACUCAGUCCAAAGAGAAACUGACGAGUUCCAGACUGCUCUAAUGGGCGAAUUACUUUGAGUUAUUCUGUUUGAUACAAGACUCCGAUUGGUUUUUUUGAAUUGCUGGAUCUACAUCGGAGUGACAGCGUUGAUGUAAAGGAGGAUUCGGCCUGAUUCAAGGCGGGAUUGAAGACGACCAUUUUUCUUCAACUUCAACCAACUUUUGGAGCAUCACCCUUGGAGCAGAUAAGCUCACCUUCUCUACAACAUCUUUCAUACAAUAUACAGUCACACUACCCGGGUAGUACACACAUAUGGUUUUGUCCAUAUUAAGGCUCAUGAAUGCUUAGCAUUCUCUGCUAGUGCAUAAAAAAGGUGGCCUCUAUUGGAGGGAGGAAUUUAUUUAACUAAUAGUGACAGAAUGCUUGAACUUUAAUGAUAAAUACACAUUUGUAAAAAGCAAUUCAACCUUCCUAAUAAACUCAAAACUCCUAAUAGAGCCUUCGUUACUCGCUGCUGUAGAAUGAAAACUCCCUUAGACACAAUACAUGAGGAGCUGACAUGUCUGUUGUUAAAUGAAGACUUUAAAGCCCUCCUCCAAGGUUGCGCGCCUCCAUUUUCUCAGGAUGACAAGCAGAAGAAUUGGCACUGAAAAAAAGUGUAUUCACCAGCAUGUGCUGAGACCAUCGAUCAAUAGCAAUAACACACUUACUCACACAUCCACCUGACAAACUCAAUUAAAAGGAAAAUGCAAAAAGAGACCGACAUCUGCUGCUGGCUGGUGGCCUUUGCAAGCAGAUGUUUGACAUCGAACACACACACGCAUGCAAACAUACACUGUAAUUCCACAUUUGGUUUACAGUUCAAAACAGCCUCCACCUCUAAAACAGAUUAUCUUCUUAUUUGGAGAUCACUCUCUGACCUGCGUCGUCUAACCUCGGGCGGGGAGAGGGAAUAAAGAGCAAAACAAAAAAAUCAAUCCGAGACAAAUUGUCCUGUCCGGCUUCUUGAGAAUAAGAGUUGGAGAGGUAUGGGGAGGGGGGGGACAACAAUAAGCUCACAGGCUUCUCAGAGACACAAAUAGUGCACACUCUUGAAUUUGAUCACUGAGACAAACCUGUGGGUCAACAAGCGCUCUUAUCUCAUAAGAUGAGACAAAGAACGCUGUGAGGGGAGUCAAAAGAGCAGAGGGAAGCUUAAGUAAAGCCUUAAAAGGAGGAUUUUUUUUCUCAACAUCAAUGGACAUGGCUCAAAGAGAAUUUAGUGGGAUUUUUUUCGGCAAACAAUGAAGCAAACUUCAAUGUAAAGUUUAAUUUAAAUGUAAUGUAAAAUGUGUUUAAUAAAAACUGUCCCUCUAUUCAAUGACACUGUUGUUUUUGUUCGAUUAUUUAUAUAUUUAUUUUUUCUGGUCAAAUUUUUUGGCAUACUGUCCUCAUGUGUUAAUCAAUUUGAAUUAUUUAUUAUUUAUUAAUUUGAUUACAUUUUAUUAUUCAGUAUCAAAUGGUGAAAAAACUGUACCUGAGUGUAUUUUUACAGUUUGAAUGUGACUUUUUUUUUUUUAAAUUGAUACGCUUGAAGUCUUUUCUGUUACAAACAGAACAAUGUUAAUCAAGUUCUACUUUAUUGUAAGUUGAUCGUUAUUACUUUUUUUUCUCUAAUAUUAAAGAGGACACGAUGUUAUGCAGAGGUGUACUUAUAAUAUUAAUAAUUUUAUAGACAAAUGAUACUUUUUACAGUCAUAAGCGGAUUAUAAGGGGGGGCCAGGGGGGCCAACCCCCCCAGUGGCCGAAAAGUGUCAUUGCAUGUAAUUGACUUUCCUAUAUAAUAUACAAGUUGUAAAGCAAUAAAACUACAACAAAAAUGAAUGAAUUAACAAAAUAUAUAUUUUUAUAAUGGGUCAAAAAUUAUUUUUUGAACAGAUCAUGUGACUA